UUUUUUUGUGUUGCCUAACCACAAACAGUUCAUCCGAGGUGUUGUAUAACGCACACACCUUCAUCUGGUUGCCCGUUUCUUUUGUUCCUCCUCAUCGCAAACAGUUAAUUGAACUGAACCGUAUGCCCUGCAUCGAACACGCAACUAAAAUCUAAACCAUGUUUGAUGCAUCCGUCAUUGCAAACGUUUUGCACCUUUUUGACGGGUUUUUUACACCACCGUUUGCGAUUAUGGCAUCGCACACAGUUUCGUCGAAGGGUCUCUGAUCGUAGUGCCGCGUUAGCAGCAUCCUGCAGUAGUGCUUGCCCACAUGGAAACAAUCCCUAGCAUGCUCCAAAUCCAUCACAACUAGCUACUACACCAUCACAGUCAAACAGAUCGGACGGCCUAACCUUAGAACAUGGACAGAUCUAGCUAUAACUAGAAGAGAGGAGGUGGUGAUUGAACUUACAGAGGCCAUUGGAACGACCGCGUAGGAGGUGCCUGGCACGUCAGAAAGGAGGAGGAGUCGACCCGCCGGCGUAGUCGACCGGUCGCCGGAGUAGAUGCGCCGCUUACCUCGUCGUUGAAGUGGAUCCACGCUGGAGGGAAAGCUCAAGGAGGGGGGAAUGGUGGCUGGAGUUUUGCCGCGGCGGUGACCCUCGAUAUAUAGGGCGACCAAAUCGGCGGGCGGUGACUCGAAUUCGUCCCGUCGCUUUUUGGAUAUGCACCAUCGCUCCCGCCAUCUCCCUCCCAUGCGCGGCGCGGCGCGGCGUUCCCCUCCCCUGCAUCACUCGAGCCUGGCUCGCUGGAAACAACCGAUUCGGUCAUUCCUAGCGGGCCAGGAUGAGGGGUGCUUUGAGGUUCAUGCUAUGCGGACCAAACAAUAAACACAGGCAUCCAAACAGCCAUUUUCAUCCUGUGAGGGCCCGGCUGGGCCUAAUGCAGGCUACCAGACGCGUCCUUAAUGGAUUGUAUGAAACAAUGAAAACUUAGAGAAUGGACAAAACCAAGUGUGUUUGUGCAACACACCUCAAUGAAGUAAAAUAGAAGUUCAUGGUGUGAUCACAACCCGAAAUAGAUGAACAGAUUGUUCAUUAGUACAUGCAACACUAUAAUAUACAUUUCUGCACCAGAGCUCAUCAGAUCUCAGUGAACAGUAAAAUGAAAAAAAAAUACUAGAAAAAUUCAAAAAAAUCUGAACUUUUUUUUGCAAGUAAGAUGUUUGAAUGCGUGAGGUCCGUGCCAAUUUUCAGCACGUUUGAACAUCUGAGUAGCUCUCGGCAAAAAAAGGAUCCAAACAGUGCACGAACAAUAAACUUUUCACAGACCCUGAUUUUAUUUUUUAUAAGAGCUACUCAGAUAUCAAAACACACUCAAAUUGACAAGAACAUCACGCAUUCAAACAACUUUCAUGCCAAAAAAAUUAAAAAAUGUAAAAUUUCUAGUAUUUUUCUAUUUUACUGUUCACGUCGCAGUCGCGCGCCGCCACACUCACUUGCACAAAGAAGGGCCUGGCAGCGAGCUCAAGACAUCAGAAGUGUAUCUUGGAGCGACGGAAGUAGAGCCCACAUCCGUCCACUGGCUUCGACGAAUCCGAGUCAUGGAAGGUGGCAGGGAGGAGGUACAGCGAGUCGGCGACGACUGGGUCGAGGAGACGAUGAGCGUCGAGCGGGGAAAGCAUGAGGUCAAGGAGAGGUGUGGGAGGCCGGUGGCGGCGGUGCCAUACUUGGGAUCUUACGGAUUUAAGGAAAAAGGCAAUGGUGGGUGAGUCGGGGCACUGUGGCUCGACAACCAGUGCACGGCGUUGGUCGAACGGUUUGGAUCUGGUGGCAGGUUGUAGGAUCGAAAGGAGUGUCUAGGAGGGGUGAAUAGACAACUAGCAUGAGUCAAUGGGCAAUCUUAAGUUCUUUAACAUUUAGGCGGAUUUUAGCACAAUCUAAAGUAGUACAAGCAUACUCUACACAAGCAUACCUAGAGCAUAGGCAACAGAAAGAAAAAUCGGUCAUGCCCGUGCAAGAAAGUAAGGAGUAGAAUUUGAGAGAAUCGCAAACAAUGGUUGACACAGAAGAUUUUUGACCCGCGGUCCCGAUAGGUCGUGAUAUCGUACGUCCACGGUUGAUGGAAGCUUCAAUCAUAAGGAUUACGUUUAUGGAUUCCAUAGAGGAAUCGAGUCCACAGAGGGCUCACACACACGAAGGAUCCAUGAAGAAGCAACAUUGCCUAUUCCAUCAUGGCAUACACCCAUGAAGGGUUGGCCUCACUAGGGUAGAUCUUCACGAAGUAGGCGAUUUUCUUGCCCUCACAAACUUCUUGGUUUCUCCACACGAUUUGGAGACUCCCAAGCAAACCUAGCCAAUCUAGGAGGCACCAUCCUCCAAAAGGUAAUAGAUGGUGUUGUUGAUGAUGAACUCCUUGCUCUUGUGCUUUAAAACAUAAUCUCCUUAACACUAAUACUCUCUCAUAGAUUUUGACUUUUGGAUAGGAGUGGUUUGGGUGGAAAGCAAUGAGGUGACUAGAAAUCAAAGGAUCAACGGUUCGAGUGGAUCCCUUUGAAAUCAACACAAGGAAUGGGAGCUCUCUCUCUCUCUCUGAAAUAUGGAUGUGUAAUGUGUUUACUUCGAGAGACAAUGGUCGAGUGGGUGGGGGCAUAUAUAGGCGGCACAAAAAACUGACUGUUACGCACCUUUUAGCACAUCUUGGUGAGACCGGCUGAAAACACACGGUCAGACCGAAUAGUAGAAAUGUUUGAACUUUAGAUACUUUGGUGACUCCAGAUGAAACUAUCCGGUGACACCAAGUUGUGCUCACCUAAGCACUUUACACACUUCGGUAAUUCUGACUGAAACCAUUCAGAAAUUCAGAACGAGUUGUAGUAGGCAACACAAGGUUAUAAGUGAUCUUCGGUGAGACCAAAGGGUCAACUUGGUGGGACCGAAAAGUUAGGGUUUUAGGCAACGACUAUAUCAUGAUGGCUCGGUGACUCUGAUUGGUUUGGUUCAGUGAGUCCGAGUUGAACUUUUAGUUUGUGAAAUAGUGGGAUCAUGUGAAAUGAUAUGAGGAUUUGGGAGUUUGAUCUUUAAUCACUUGAGCAAUGAACUCAUCAUCUCCUCAUAAGUUAGAGACCUUUCGGUCCAAAAAACUGCCCUAAGCCAAUGUACAACGCAAUGCACUUAGGAGAGGUGCUUAAAGAAAUAAAUUAUUCUUCAAGCACCGAUGCUUAUUUGUAGAAGGUACAAGCCUAAUUAGAGCAUCUCCAACGCCGACCCUUAACCGCCCGCAACCGCACGGUCCAAACGUGUUUUGCCAUCCAACGCGGUUCUAUAAUAUGUAUCAGUCCAGACAUGUUUUUCCUCAAAAACCGGAAACAAACCGGGGUACUUUGCGGGCGUCUGGACCGUUGCCACGCCCGCAUCCAACAACCAUUGCCCACCCAAACCCUCCCCUCGCCCGCGCACUUUCCCUCUCGAAGCCAGCUAUUCGCGUGCCGCUCUAGAACAACCGCUCCGCAUUGACGCCGGGACGUGACCUCUCACUGGCACCCGCACUAAAGCGGAUCACUUGCCGAGGGCACCACCCACGCCGCGUUCCCGGUGUCCGCACAUGUUCAAUGCCGGAGUGACGUUUACUGGACGGGAUGGGACGGAUAUCUACCGUGCCCGUUUAAUGCCUGUUUGUCCGUCUGCCACCAUUAGUAGGCUCACCGGCCGAGGAAUCAACUCCGACGCCCGCGCAUUUGGCGCACUGGGAUGCUUAGCCUCACCGAAGUGUGCUAUUUAAAGGCGACCACAACACAUCCACUCCACAUCUUCCUCCCGUGCACCACAUCUGCCACGACCGCGAACGGGAACGCUUUCUGGAAGAGCCUCUCGACCCAGCAAAAACACGAGGUGGCCGCCUCGCAGAGGCGUCGUGCCAGGCAGAUCGAGACCGGCAUGUCGGCCAGCUCCCUCGUGUCUUCAACGGCAACCCCAUGACGGAGAUGGGCUUUGGCGACGACUCGGCGCGGGAGCCCGCGCCGGUGCAUGCCGACUUACCAUGGAGCAAGCGAGGCGCACUUCACUGUGGCCAUGGCGGAGGAGGGCAAAUUUGACAAAUUUAACCUAUAGACGAAAUCAAAUCACAGAAUGAACUAUCCGUGAAACUAUUUCACGCGGCUGACCUUUUUGUGUGACGCCCGACACGAAGGCGCCACACUACACUGUGUAACGCCUAACAGAUAGGCGCUACACGGCCAGCGUCGCACCCGUGUGAUCAGAAAAUUACUAAGUCAGUGUGCAGCGCCUGAGAGCUAGGCGCCACACUAUACAGUGUAGCGCCUAGCUCCUAGGCGUUGCACUAGUGCAGCGCCUAGCUCCCAAGCGUUGCACUAGUGCAGCGCCUGAGAGCUAGGCGCCAUUGCACUAGUGCAGCGUCUGAGAGCUAGGCGCCACGGGUCAGCCGCGUGAAAUAGUUUUACGGACAGUUCAUUCUGUGAUUUGAUUUCGUCUAUAAGUUAAAUUUGUCAAAUUUGCCGCAGAGGAGCAGCCUGUGUUGGCACCUAUUCCGGUAUUCUGCAGGCUUACAACUUGUUCCUCUCCUCCUCGUGCAACCCCAGCUGGCGGAGGGCCAAACCUACAGCAAGUGUGCGAGCGAGGAGGUCGUAGCGGCCAUGGCCACGGCGAACCCCAACUUCUUAACGCAGAGCUGGCGUAGCCAGAUGCGGAUGUGGCGCUGGGAUAGAGGACAAGAAGACAAGAACACUGCGCGUCCUAUGUGCAGGCAGGAUCAUUCGAGGGCGCAUGUGGCAGGAGGGCAGGCAUUUUCAUGUUCAGCCGGAAGAGUUUAGACAAGACUCUAAUUAGGCCUUGAACAAUCAAAAAAUUGUUUUUUUGUUAAACACGGAUCACAGGAGAAACGAGGCACCCCUCAUGUAAUUGGUGCUUUUUAGAAAGAAAAAAACUAAUAUUCGUAUUUUCUUAAGCUUUGCUCAUUGACUCCCCGGUGAGGCGGUACGGAUGUUCCGUUAAGCAAGGUUCCCCUACCAUAUCUGCAGUCGAUUUUGUUGCCGUGAGCAAAUCCCACUGGAAGCACUCUUAAGCAUACGAAUUACUAGUUCAGGCGUCUCCAAGCGAACAGAAGACACAUGCAUGAAGAUUCUACCAAGCACAGAAGCGCCAUUUAUUACCAAAGCUCUCCACGAACCAUUUCUACUGUCACUUGAAGAUAAUUUAACUAGGUACACCACUGACGGAUUUGUUACAGUAUUUCUCGCAACGGGAUACAGAAUCAGGCAAAACCGGGGCCAACACAUCCAACGACCAACUCUCGUCCCCCCCUCGCAAAAUCUGGCGUUGGAAGCUGCCUUGCCAAAACAUGUUUCCCCCUCCUCUACCUGUCUGCUGCUAGACAGACCGAUGCUCAGAGCUCGUCCUUCAGAGGCUCGGUGGCAGCCGGUUCCGCCGCCUUCUCGGUGUCCGCCGCAGCCGCCUGCCCAGCAGUCUCCUUGUUCUUCUUGAUGUAGUCUACGAUCUCGUCGGCCGUCCUGCCGCCCUCGUACGAGACCUUCUUCCCGCUGGGAGUGACGAAGUACAGGGUGGGGUAACCCUGGACAUCGAACUCACUGGGCACGUCAUUCGCGGUCGCGUCCUGUGGACAAGGUUGAGAAACAGUGGUUAGGUAAGUUGUAUUCCGUUGCUGGAACUGGAACGACAGAGAGGGCAACAAAUAUUACCAUCUUCGCGAUCACAACGUCCUCUUCACUUUGAAGGGUGGCAGCUGCCUCGUCGAGGAUGGGUGCUAGCUUCUUGCAGUGUCCGCACCAGGGUGCAUAGAACUCGAUAAGAACUGCAAUAUAAGGUGGCAAAUCAAUGAGCCAUUGUUUCACUUACAAGGAAUCGCAGUCACUUGUUACAACUAGCUUAAUCCAGCGAGGAAAAAAAAAUUAACAAAGAUGAAUACCAUUUUUGCCAGAUUUGAAGACCACGUCGUGAACGUUGUCAGCCACAACUACCUUAACAGGCUCAUUGUUGGCCUCAGGAAUAGGCUCAGACUUCCUGAAUGGUGUCAAUUUGCCAUCCUACAAUAUGAAUGAACACUAAUGAAAUUGCUAAACAGAUUACCUGGGAUCAAACAAAUAAGGUUGGUAUUACUACAACCAAGGGAAAAAGGAAUGGCUACUUACAAAGUAAUCCUUCAACCAAGCAACAAUUUGGCCAGCCUCAACCUGUUCCUUCAAAAACUUCUUCGAGUCACUGUCUUGAAUGAGGAUCAGUGGUGCCUGAUCCUCUUUCAGCCCGAAGUACUAUGUUUCAAAGAAAAAUCUGUUAGCACCAAGGAAAAAACAACAGUAUCGAUAACUACUACCUUUGUAAAGAAAUAUAGAAAGGGAAACAGGCAAUCAACCUGGAAAGCGCCUUGGCUCGCUUCAAUGUCACCAAUAAGGAACUUCACAUCCUUGCCACUGAACUCCUCUACAGCACCAUAGUAGGCUGAUUUGAAGGACUCAAACGGUCCAGUGGAGAAGUUCAAAAAGAGCAUGGCCUACAUACCAUUUGAUGUCAGAGAACAGAAGUGCCAAAUAAUGAGUGACCAAUAACUAAAAAACAAUGAAAAGGCUAAUGCUCUAAGCAGCUUCACCACUAGAAACAUAUAUCUGAACUGUUUUUACAGACAAAGCACUGAAAACACCAAAGAUGAUAUUCUGCAUCUCAAACAAUCAUCACAUCUAUGGCUCUGCAGUAGUAGACCUUUCAGGUACAACAACCAUGAAUGAAAACACAAAGAUCCAAAAGGCUAACAAAACUAAAUACACUAGUAAUCCUCCAAAUGUGCUGAACAAAUUCUUUGCAAGAUGAUUUCUUCAAAGGACCGACAAAUGACUAGAAUAUACUAAUCAAUCAUUCAUGUAAACAUGUUCAAGAAAAAAUUGACAAAUUCAACCAUCAUUGGAUUGCAGAAGUUUUUUGUACACACCAAGAGUCAGGCUGAUAAUCAAUUGAAACAACAUACAGCGAUCAACAUUAUGGCCUAAUUAGUUACAAACUUGAGGCAUAGACCUAACUGACUAAGCAUAUAGUAGAAAUUAGGCAACUAUACAGAACUCAUACAAUUACAAAAAAUGAUAAAGCAUUCUAGAAGCAAGUUGUGUCAGUCAUUACCUUGGGAGCAUUGGUCUGGAAGAAUUUCAGGAGGUAAGGAUGGUUGUCAGGGUUCUUGUCAAAAGUAACAACUUUCGGGGUGCUGCUAGCAUCAAUGAAUUUCUCCAAAGCAGAAACAUCAAAAUCCUGCAAAAUGUCACAUCACUAUGUUAAUACUCAGUAAUCUGUAUGAAGUAAGAAGAACACAGAUGAACACUCCCUCUGUUCCAGAUUACUUGUCACUAAAUUGUACUAAAUAAGCAAUAACUAAUAUGAACAGAGGGAGUAAUGAUUAGUUUACAGAGCGAGCGAAGUAUAACCUUGCUGUCAACAACGAGCUCAUCAAAUGGCUUGAAUAGCCUAACCAAUGGCCUCUCCACUGCUGCAUCACCACGUGGGAGAUGGUUGGCAUGCACGGUGUGGCCAAAGUCAUAAUCAGACCUCAGCUUCUCAGCAACCUCAAGGAAGUUUGUAAACUCAGUGCCGCUGAAUUCAGUGAAAACACCAACCUAUACAAUUAUCAUCAUUACUUAGUCAGCAGGCAUAGAACAUCAACCAUGGCUAUAUGACGAUUGCUAUUUGAAAGUAAGAACAGACAAAAUAAGAAGCUUACAAUGUGGAUCUUGCCGUCUUCAAGGUAAGUGGCAUCUUCAGGUGCCUUGAUCUCCUUGGAAGCAGGGCCAACCUGCUUCUUCAAGUACUCGACAAUUCCCUCAGCCUCCCUGGGGCCCUUGUAUUCCUGGAUGUUCUUUCCCCCGUUCCUGAAGAUCUUGAGGGUAGGGAAGCCCUGGACCUCGUACUUGCCCGCAAGCGGCUUGUUCUUCUCAUCGUUGGCAUCAACCUUAGCAAGGACAAUCGCUGGGUCGUGCUUGCUCAACAGUUGGGCCGCCUUCUCAUACUGCAACAUCACACAUCAACGAAUGAGAUCAAUCCAUUCAGCAUAUAACACCAGUGCUAAGUAAGUGGUCCAAGGAUGUAGAAGAAUUACCUCAGGUGCCAGGCUCUUGCAGUGUCCACACCUGAAACAAAAUUCAGACCAGACUAAGUGAGAUUGUACUGAAAUAAGUCGAACAGACAGAAUCUGCAAUACAUAGGUACAGUAUAAAGUUGGACGCAGUGGAAUCCCAACAGGGACCCCAGCCCAACAACCUCUAAACCCUCGAGGAACUUGAAAUCCAACCAAAACUUCAGAGGAAUCGGCGAUCCAGACGCACCGAUCAGCAAAGCCAGAUCCCCCGUCGUCCGCAACUGACGCAUCUGAGACAUCUCUAAACUGACCACGAUCUAAACCGCUCGGAUCCGCCGGAACAACACCCACACACACGCACAGACACCAGAGGCGAGG
rnacentral:lncRNA from 1 species